rnacentral:piRNA from 1 species
CAAAGAUGUUGUCAAGGUGAAAUGUA